GACGAACGCUGGCGGCGUGCUUAACACAUGCAAGUCGAACGGAAAGGCCCCCUUGUGGGGUACUCGAGUGGCGAACGGGUGAGUAACACGUGAGUAACAUACCCUUGACUUUGGGAUAACUUCAGGAAACUGGGGCAAAUACCGGAAAGGAGCUCCUGCUGCAUGGGGGGGGUUGGAAAGUUUCGGCGGUUGGGGAUGGACUCGCGGCUUAUCAGCUUGUUGGUGGGGUAGUGGCUCACCAAGGCUUUGACGGGUAGCCGGCCUGAGAGGGUGACCGGCCACAUUGGGACUGAGAUACGGCCCAGACUCCUACGGGAGGCAGCAGUGGGGAAUAUUGCACAAUGGGCGGAAGCCUGAUGCAGCAACGCCGCGUGCGGGAUGACGGCCUUCGGGUUGUAAACCGCUUUCGCCUGUGACGAAGCGUGAGUGACGGUAAUGGGUAAAGAAGCACCGGCUAACUACGUG
rnacentral:rRNA from 1 species